rnacentral:rRNA from 1 species
AGAGUUUGAUCCUGGCUCAGGAUGAAUGCUGGCGGCGUGCUUAACACAUGCAAGUCGAACGGGGUAGAUUGCUUCGGUGAUUUACUUAGUGGCGAACGGGUGAGUAACGCGUGAGAAACCUGCCUUUCAGUGGGGGACAACAGUUGGAAACGACUGCUAAUACCGCAUAAUGUUUCGAGAGGGCAUCCUCUUGAAACCAAAGCUUUAUGUGCUGAAAGAUGGUCUCGCGUCUGAUUAGCUAGUUGGUGAGGUAACGGCUCACCAAGGCGACGAUCAGUAGCCGGUCUGAGAGGAUGAACGGCCACAUUGGGACUGAGAUACGGCCCAGACUCCUACGGGAGGCAGCAGUGGGGAAUAUUGGGCAAUGGGGGAAACCCUGACCCAGCAACGCCGCGUGAGGGAAGAAGGCUUUCGGGUUGUAAACCUCUUUUAGUAGGGACGAAGACAAUGACGGUACCUACAGAAAAAGCAACGGCUAACUACGUGCCAGCAGCCGCGGUAAUACGUAGGUUGCAAGCGUUGUCCGGAUUUACUGGGUGUAAAGGGCGUGUAGGCGGAGAUGCAAGUUGGGAGUGAAAUCCCGGGGCUCAACCCCGGAACUGCUUUCAAAACUGUAUCCCUUGAGUGUCGGAGAGGCAAGCGGAAUUCCUAGUGUAGCGGUGAAAUGCGUAGAUAUUAGGAGGAACACCAGUGGCGAAGGCGGCUUGCUGGACGAUAACUGACGCUGAGGCGCGAAAGCGUUGGGGAGCAAACAGUAUUAGAUACCCCUGGUAGUCCCGGCUGUAAAACGAUGAAUACUAGGUGUGGGGAGGACUGUCCCCCUUCCGUGCCGCAGUUAACACAAUAAGUAUUCCACCUGGGGAGUACGACCGCAAGGUUGAAACUCAAAGGAAUUGACGGGGGCCCGCACAAGCAGUGGAUUAUGUGGUUUAAUUCGACGCAACGCGAAGAACCUUACCAGGAUUUGACAUCCUACUAACGAAGCAGAGAUGCAUUAGGUGCCCUUCGGGGAAAGUAGAGACAGGUGGUGCAUGGUUGUCGUCAGCUCGUGUCGUGAGAUGUUGGGUUAAGUCCCGCAACGAGCGCAACCCCUAUUGUUAGUUGCUACGCAAGAGCACUCUAGCGAGACUGCCGUUGACAAAACGGAGGAAGGCGGGGACGACGUCAAAUCAUCAUGCCCCUUAUGUCCUGGGCUACACACGUAAUACAAUGGUGGUAAACAGAGGGAGGCAAAGCUGCGAAGUGGAGCAAAUCCCUAAAAGCCAUCUCAGUUCGGAUUGCAGGCUGCAACUCGCCUGCAUGAAGCUGGAAUCGCUAGUAAUCGCGGAUCAGCAUGCCGCGGUGAAUACGUUCCCGGGCCUUGUACACACCGCCCGUCA